CAGGCAGUAAAGCGGAGAUCUCGUCGCCUGGCAGAUUGCGGAGGAAGGAGGAAGGCUGCUGAGGAUGAGACUGCAUCACAUCAUACAUAUCAAAAAUAACAUAAGAGGAACAUCACACCUGUAGACCUAGACACCGUGUUAGGAUUAAAAUUAGAGUUACAGUUACAGUUUCCUUUUUCUUUCUGCAUCCAUUUUUAUUUCUAAGGAGUUAUUUAUAGGCAUAAGGAGUGAUCCUCAGUCCCACCAAGCAGCCAGGAUGGGGAACCGGGGAAUGGAAGAUCUCAUCCCGCUGGUGAACCGGAUGCAGGACGCGUUCGCCUCCAUCGGACAGAAUGCGAACUUGGACCUGCCUCAGAUCGCAGUGGUUGGCGGCCAGAGCGCGGGGAAGAGCUCCGUCCUGGAGAACUUUGUCGGAAAGGACUUCCUUCCCCGCGGUUCAGGCAUCGUCACACGCCGCCCUCUGGUCCUGCAACUCAUCAACUCCCCCACAGAGUUUGCAGAGUUUUUGCACUGUAAGGGGAAGAAGUUUACAGAUUUUGAUGAAGUGCGUCAAGAGAUCGAAGCAGAGACGGAUCGUGCCACUGGGCAGAAUAAAGGCAUCUCUCCGGUCCCUAUUAACCUCCGUGUCUAUUCCCCUAAUGUACUGAACCUGACUCUGGUGGAUUUGCCGGGAAUGACCAAAGUGCCGGUCGGCGACCAGCCGGCAGACAUCGAGCACCAAAUCAAGGAAAUGCUUAUGCAGUUUGUGACGAAGGAUAACUGCCUGCUGCUGGCUGUAUCCCCUGCUAACUCCGACCUCGCCAACUCUGAUGCCCUAAAAAUCGCCAAAGAAGUGGAUCCUCAAGGUUUGCGCACCAUCGGCGUGAUCACCAAACUGGAUCUGAUGGACGAAGGAACGGAUGCUCGAGAUAUUCUAGAGAACAAGCUGUUACCGCUGCGCCGAGGCUACAUCGGCGUGGUGAACCGCAGUCAGAAAGACAUCGAUGGGAGGAAGGACAUCACUGCGGCUAUGGCUGCUGAGAGGAAGUUCUUCCUGUCACAUCCUGCAUACAGACACCUGGCAGACCGUAUGGGGACAGCUUACCUACAAAAAGCGCUCAACCAGCAACUAACCAAUCAUAUCCGAGACACACUGCCCGGACUGCGCAGUAAACUCCAGAGCCAGCUGCUAUCCAUCGAGAAAGAGGUGGAGGAGUAUAAGAACUUCCGCCCAGACGACCCGUCUCGAAAGACCAAGGCCUUGUUGCAGAUGGUGCAGCAAUUCUCUGUGGAUUUUGAAAAGCGUAUCGAAGGCUCAGGUGAUCAGAUCGAGACUUAUGAGCUUUCAGGUGGAGCGAGGAUCAACCGUAUCUUCCACGAACGCUUUCCUUUCGAACUGGUCAAGAUGGAGUUUGAUGAAAAAGAACUGCGCAAGGAGAUCAGCUACGCCAUCAAGAACAUUCAUGGCAUCAGAACUGGGCUCUUCACCCCGGACAUGGCCUUUGAGACCAUUGUGAAAAGGCAGAUUGCGAAGAUUAAAGCGCCCUGCCAGAAAUGCGUGGACAUGGUCAUUUCUGAGCUAGUCAAUACCGUUAGGCAGUGUACCAAGAAGCUUGCCCAGUACCCCAUGCUGCGAGAGGAAAUGGAAAGAAUCGUCACUCAGCACAUCCGCGAUCGUGAGGGUCGCACCAAGGAACAGGUGAUGCUGCUGAUUGACAUUGAGCUGGCUUACAUGAACACCAACCAUGAAGAUUUCAUCGGGUUUGCCAAUGCGCAGCAGAGAAGCAGCCAAAUGAGCAAGAAGAAAGCAGCUGGCAACCAGGGGCAGGAUGAGAUCAUGGUCAUCAGGAAGGGCUGGCUGACGAUCAACAACAUCAGUAUCAUGAAAGGUGGCGCUAAGGAGUACUGGUUUGUGUUAACAGCGGAAUCGCUCUCCUGGUACAAGGAUGACGAGGAGAAAGAGAAGAAGUACAUGCUGCAGGUGGACAACCUGAAGUUUAGAGAUGUUGAGAAGAGUUUUAUGUCCAGCAAGCACAUCUUUGCACUGUUUAACACUGAACAGAGGAACGUGUAUAAAGACUAUCGUCAGCUGGAGUUGGCCUGUGAGAGUCAGGAGGAAGUGGAUGGCUGGAAGGCCUCAUUCCUCAGAGCUGGUGUUUAUCCAGAGCGUGUGGUGGAAAAGGACAAGAGCGAUGCGAGCGAAGAGAACGGCUCAGACGGCUUCAUGCACUCCAUAGACCCCCAGCUGGAGAGGCAGGUGGAGACCAUUCGCAACCUGGUGGACUCCUACAUGGGCAUCGUCAACAAAACCAUCCGUGAUCUCAUGCCCAAGACCAUCAUGCACCUCAUGAUCAUCAACACGAAGGAGUUCAUUAAUGCGGAGUUGCUUGCUCAGCUUUAUUCCUGCGGUGAUCAAAACACUUUGAUGGAGGAGUCGCCCGAGCAGGCUCAGCACCGGGACGAGAUGCUGCGCAUGUACCAUGCACUCAAAGAGGCCCUCUGCAUAAUCGGAGACAUCAGCACCAGCACGGUGUCUACAGCUCUGCCUCCACCUGUUGACGACUCGUGGCUGCAGGUGCAGCGCAUUGGUUCUGGGGGAAGGUCUCCAGCUACCAGUCCCACCCCUCAGAGACGAGCUCCUCCAGGACCACCAGGACGCCCUGUUUCUCGUGGCUCUGCACCAGGACUGCCUGCUGCCGGUGGGCCUCCUUUGCCAUCUCGCCCCGGGGCGUCUCCGGACCCGUUUGGAGGCCCACCCCCUCAGGUGCCAUCUCGGCCUAACCGGGCCCCGCCCAGUGUGCCCAGCCGAGGAGUGUGAGACACCUCAGAGCGAAGCGGUGUGGAAUUACAAUCAGUGACCAGUGAGGACCAGCGUGUCUGCCGACGACCCCCGGCCUCACCCACUCGACCCAUGUGAUCCACAGACUCCUCCCUAUAGACUAUUAGCUCCUCCCAAAAGACCUUAAGGGACAGACAUCCAGGCCACCCAGAUCCCCUUCAUCUGCUUCUCCUCCAGAUUCAGUCCGGCAUGAACCCACACACAAACAUAUACACACACACACACACACACACACACACACACUACACUAUGCAGGAGUUUAUGUUGUUUCCUUUCUCCAUAUGAUUUUAUCUCUUUACGUUUCUUUCUGUUCCAUGCUUUUCUUGACGAUCCCUAACUUCUGUUAUAAUUUUUUUAUUUUGCUGAAUGAAAGUUCAUUUAUAAAUGAAGGUGAUGACUGGAGUGCUGAGUAUAACUGCAUCUAUUUGUGGCGUGCGCUUGUACACACCUUCAGUUUCAGUUACGUUAUUCGUCUUGGUUUGUUUUUUGUCCUUCUGUUUGUUUUUUUUAACAGUGCUCCUUGAAGUCACAGGCGGGAAGACGACACCCCACUAAUCUGAGGGUAAUAAACUUUAUCGUGGUUCUAAAUUGACGAUCAGGUUUUUAAUCACAUUUCAUUCAAAACAUUUCCCUUCGAUUGACAAUUUCAUUACAAUCCCAGGCGCUUGCCUUCCAGCCUUGCUGACUUUAGGGAUGCCAUUUUACUUCCGUCUGCUUCAACAAUUCUUUCAAUAUUCACUUUUCUUUCUCUCUCUUUUUUCCUCCUCGUGUUUCUCAGCCGGCCGAGCAGGGGCAGCCCUUCACGCCCUGAGAGCCCUCUUCCCUCAUCUGAUUCCUAACUACCCCAUCCUUUUUUUACUUUCACUUUUCUCUUUCUCCUUUCUGACCUCUUCCCCCCCCCCCCACUUCAUUUUCUCUUAUCUUGUAUCUUUUUCUCUCUGACACAUUUUUACUUUCUCCCACAUUCACUUUUCCUGUUUCUCUUUCUCAUUUUCUCUUCCUUUUUUCUUCCUGUUGCUUUUUAAAUUCAUUGCCUCUUCUUAUUUGUAUUUCACUGCCUUUUCCUUCCUGUUCGUUCUUUCCAUUGAUUAUUUAAUCCUUUCUUUUUAUUAUGUUCCUCUAUGACACUUUUCCUUCUACUCUUUUAAAUCCUUUCUUACGUUCCUUCCUUGUGUCUUUCACCUUCCUCUCUUUCCCUUUCCUUGUUCCUAUUUUUUUUUACUUUUUCUGUUUCAUCCCACCCUCUGUUUAAUUUCUACAUCAUUUGUUCUUCCUUCACUUUCAUUUUUAUUUCAGUUGUCAACCUUUUCCUUUUUUCUGUUUCAUAUUCUUUACUCUCGUCCUCAUCUUUCCUCUUCGACUUUGUCCUUCCUCUUCCUCUUCCUCUUAAACUCCCUCCUUGUCCACAAUAGAGCAAAUCUAAACCAAACCCCACCAGCACAGCUGAACACACACACACACACACACACACACACACACACACACACAACAACACAGUAAGCAGAGGAAGAAACAACGGAUGGAAAACCCCUUCAGAUGUAACUUCUCUUCCUCGUUCCACCUGCUCCGUUGUGGACAGACGCUUUUUCUUCUACGUUCCAUGUGAAGUAGAUGAGCAGCAACACCACCAUCGUGCUGUGAAAGUUGUGGUCAUCGCCCAUGUUCGCCUUUCCUGCUGGAUUUUCUUCAAAACCCACUGGACUAAUGUAAUAGCCAUGAAUAGUGUCUUGAUGUUUUAUCUCUAACACACAUAGCCAAGGUUCCCUGAUUUUUUUGUCACAAAUUGUUUGCACCCUGUCCGUGUUUACCCCUUGUGAUAUUUCGCAAAAUGUUCACUUUACAACGUAGUGAGUUCAGUAAAAGAGGCGGGAUCGAUAUAAAAAGUGCAAUAUAUGUCUACACGGUUACCAUUCACACCACGCGCUAGACCCGACAAUUAUCUACUCGAAAUACGCGAAGCUACUUAUUCUCUACGAGGGAGAAAAAGAGGAUUGUAUUAUUACUAGCAUCUUUACAGACGCUCGUUUAUGCAAACGUAUCAUUCUAACUGUGACGUUUUGUUUUUUAACCGUUCAGAAAUUCAGGUUUUAAAGGAAAUAUUCAAAGAAAAAUCAAAUGGACAAUGAAGCUCACAUUGGGGUUGAACCUUCGCCAUUGAAAAUGUUUAUUUAUUUAUUUUUUAUUUUUUUUGCUCAAAUCUACGCUAAUGUACACUUUCGAUAAAUGAAUAAAUAAAUAACUACACUAUAAAUGUAGAUAUUCUUGCAUUGGUUUUGUAAAUAUGCCAUGCAAAUAUCUGUUCUGGUGCAUUUCAUUAUAAACAUGUCUUAUAUGCUCUCGGUCUGUUAGAACGUCCUAAAAUAUGGAUUUGAACAGCAUCAGUACAACUGCAGCAUGCAAUGUGAAUAACUCUUAUGCUGUUUAGAUUACGGACUCACUGUAGAAUGUUGCAUGAAUGCCUUGUUUAGAUAGAAGUCGAAUUGGAAAUUGAGAAAAAAGCUACAUUGGCUACAUUAGAGGUCAACCGAUAGUGGAUUUUACAGAUAGCGAUGGCUAGGUCACCUUGGAUCAUAUUUGCUAAUAAACUAAUAAUCAACUAAUAAAUUUAUUUUAAUAAGUACUGGAUACAAAAAUAAUAAUCAUGUAAAAUAGGACUGAACUUUAAUACAAAGAUAAAAAAAACAGUACUGAAUCAUGAAACUGUGUGAAAUUAAAUCAAUAUGAAUAUAUUAAUUAUAUUAAUAAAUACAAGUAUAUAAUUAAUACAUUUAUAAUUAAUAAAUAGAAUACAGCGCUCUCCGUUCAGCAUACAGUCUCAUGUGUAUAAUCAUACAGCAUGUGAUGUCAUUGAUUUGCCUAUAGAGGGCGCUCUCAUAAUGACAGCGGUAUGUAUUUUUGCCGAUCGUUCCAGCAAUCAAUUGUGGAUAGUGUAAAAUGUUAUUUAUUUAAAAAAAACAAAAAAACAGGAUAGCUUCUGUUCUGAAAUCUGAUUCGCUGAGAUGCAUUCAAACUAAUUUCUGCAUUAAUGUACUUGAUUUAAACCAAUAAAACCAUCAUGGCUGCAUAUAUAAAGCCCUGAUCUUUGUAUGUUAUGGUGCAGCUAAAGGGGAACGAUUAACAAACUAUGGUAUGUCACGGAAAAUGUAGUUAUUUAUUAUUUAUUUAUCACAAAUUUUGUCCGCUUUAUUUAUUGAAUGCUUCGUUAUUUAUUUAUUUUUUGUUUAUAGCAUUUAUGAAAGCAAUUUUGUCACGCCUAAUAAUAUUAUCCCUCCUGAUAAAAGGGGGAAAUAAAAACAUGCACAUUGAGUUAUUCACUGGGUUUUGGGUUUGUCCUUAUGGAACCACUGAAGGUCAUUUGUAAAACCUAGAACAGAGCUUUUCGUUUCAUUGAGUUUUCACAGCUUCACGUAAAAAAAAUAAAAGUGUUCAUUUGA